CCCCAUCAGGUUGAAACUCAGGUUCACGUACGAGCACCGAAGUUAAGCAAUGUCGAGCCUGGUUGCUAGCUAGUUGUGUGACCGCUUGGAAAUUUCAGGUGCUGUUA